rnacentral:tRNA from 1 species
GGGCCUGUAGCUCAGCUGGGAGAGCGCCUGACUGGCAGUCAGGAGGUCGACGGUUCGAUCCCGUUCAGGUCCACCA